GAACUUUCCAGAGAUGGAUUGGUGCCUUCGGGAACUGUGAGACAGGUGCUGCAUGGCUGUCGUCAGCUCGUGUUGUGAAAUGUUGGGUUAAGUCCCGCAACGAGCGCAACCCUUAUCCUUUGUUGCCAGCGGUCCGGCCGGGAACUCAAAGGAGACUGCCAGUGAUAAACUGGAGGAAGGUGGGGAUGACGUCAAGUCAUCAUGGCCCUUACGACCAGGGCUACACACGUGCUACAAUGGCGCAUACAAAGAGAAGCGACCUCGCGAGAGCAAGCGGACCUCAUAAAGUGCGUCGUAGUCCGGAUUGGAGUCUGCAACUCGACUCCAUGAAGUCGGAAUCGCUAGUAAUCGUGGAUCAGAAUGCCACGGUGAAUACGUUCCCGGGCCUUGUACACACCGCCCGUCACACCAUGGGAGUGAGUUGCAAAAGAAGUAGGUAGCUUAACCUUCGGGAGGGCGCUUACCACUUUGUGAUUCAUGACUGGGGUGAAGUCGUAACAAGGUAACCGUAGGGGAACCUGCGGUUGGAUCACCUCCUUACCUUAAAGAA
rnacentral:rRNA from 1 species